rnacentral:rRNA from 1 species
UACGUAGGGGGCAAGCGUUGUCCGGAAUCAUUGGGCGUAAAGCGCGUGUAGGCGGCCCGAUAAGUCCGCUGUGAAAGUCCAGGGCUCAACCCUGGGAUGCCGGUGGAUACUGUCGGGCUCGAGUCCGGAAGAGGAGUGUGGAAUUCCUGGUGUAGCGGUGAAAUGCGCAGAUAUCGGGAGGAACACCAAUGGCGAAGGCAGCACUCUGGGACGUGACUGACGCUGAGACGCGAAAGCGUGGGGAGCAAACAGG